UACACACAACCAUACGUCUUUGUUGUCCUGUAAUGUGGUACUAUUACAAACGGGAAUUGCUGAAACGCUAACAUGCUAAGUAUAGCCCUUGCCCGCCGAAAUGGUCCACACGGCCAUGAUCUUGAUGCGGGCCUUGGUGCGCGAGUUGAAGCGGCUGUGGUGGAUGGGGUUCCGGAUGGCGAUGUAGCGGUCCAGCGAGAUGGCACACAGAUGCAUGAUGGAUGCCGUCGAGAAGAGCACGUCCAGGUGGUGGUCCAUUGGAAGGGGGAGCAACAUUGUCCAGGCCCGGCUACCAGCCCGCUACUAGGUGUACACCAUCGAGCCCCACCUCC